rnacentral:rRNA from 2 species
CGAUGAUGCCCAGCUUGCUGGGCGGAUUAGUGGCGAACGGGUGAGUAAUACGUGAGUAACCUGCCCUUGACUCUGGGAUAAGCCUGGGAAACUGGGUCUAAUACUGGAUACUACCUCUUGCCGCAUGGUGGGUGGUGGAAAGGGUUUUACUGGUUUUGGAUGGGCUCACGGCCUAUCAGCUUGUUGGUGGGGUAAUGGCUCACCAAGGCGACGACGGGUAGCCGGCCUGAGAGGGUGACCGGCCACACUGGGACUGAGACACGGCCCAGACUCCUACGGGAGGCAGCAGUGGGGAAUAUUGCACAAUGGGCGGAAGCCUGAUGCAGCGACGCCGCGUGAGGGAUGACGGCCUUCGGGUUGUAAACCUCUUUCAGUAGGGAAGAAGCGAGAGUGACGGUACCUGCAGAAGAAGCGCCGGCUAACUACGUGCCAGCAGCCGCGGUAAUACGUAGGGCGCAAGCGUUGUCCGGAAUUAUUGGGCGUAAAGAGCUCGUAGGCGGUUUGUCGCGUCUGCUGUGAAAGCCCGGGGCUCAACCCCGGGUCUGCAGUGGGUACGGGCAGACUAGAGUGCAGUAGGGGAGACUGGAAUUCCUGGUGUAGCGGUGAAAUGCGCAGAUAUCAGGAGGAACACCGAUGGCGAAGGCAGGUCUCUGGGCUGUUACUGACGCUGAGGAGCGAAAGCAUGGGGAGCGAACAGGAUUAGAUACCCUGGUAGUCCAUGCCGUAAACGUUGGGCACUAGGUGU